rnacentral:rRNA from 1 species
CGGGGUACACGAGCGGCGAACGGGUGAGUACACGUGGGUGAUCUCCUUCACUUCGGGAUAAGCCUGGGAAACUGGGUCUAAUACCGGAUAUGACCUCGAAGCAUGGUUGGGGUGGAAAGAUUUAUCGGUGCGAGAUGGGCCCGCGGCCUAUCAGCUUGUUGGUGAGGUAACGGCUCACCAAGGCGACGACGGGUAGCCGACCUGAGAGGGUGACCGGCCACACUGGGACUGAGACACGGCCCAGACUCCUACGGGAGGCAGCAGUGGGGAAUAUUGCACAAUGGGCGCAAGCCUGAUGCAGCGACGCCGCGUGCGGGAUGACGGCCUUCGGGUUGUAAACCGCUUUUGACAGGGACGAAGCGCAAGUGACUGUACCUGUAGAAUAAGGACCGGCCAACUACGUGCCAGCAGCCGCGGUAAUACGUAGGGUCCGAGCGUUGUCCGGAAUUACUGGGCGUAAAGAGCUUGUAGGCGGUUCGUCGCGUCGUUUGUGAAAACUUGGGGCUCAACCUUAAGCUUGCAGGCGAUACGGGCGGACUAGAGUACUUCAGGGGAGACUGGAAUUCCUGGUGUAGCGGUGAAAUGCGCAGAUAUCAGGAGGAACACCGGUGGCGAAGGCGGGUCUCUGGGAAGUAACUGACGCUGAGAAGCGAAAGCAUGGGUAGCAAACAGGAUUAGAUACCCUGGUAGUCCAUGCCGUAAACGGUGGGUACUAGGUGUGGGGCUCCUUCCACGGACUCCGUGCCGUAGCUAACGCAUUAAGUACCCCGCCUGGGGAGUACGGCCGCAAGGCUAAAACUCAAAGAAAUUGACGGGGGCCCGCACAAGCGGCGGAGCAUGUGGAUUAAUUCGAUGCAACGCGAAGAACCUUACCUGGGUUUGACAUACACCGGAAACCUGCAGAGAUGUAGGCCCCCUUGUGGUCGGGACAGG